UGAAAUAUCACCUUUAAUAGCAAUUACCAAGAUGUCAUAUUUGGAGCAAUCCCGUCGUCGUAGGCCUGUGGACAGCGCUGGACAUAAAUGGUAAUGGCCGUUAGGUAGAGGAUGUUAGGGCGGGCGACGGAGUUCGUCGGUAAUGGUUGGUCGGCAGUUGGACAUCUCAUGCUGCAGUUCUUAUCAUCAACGUCCUAAAUUUUCUCUUUCUCAACAACAACCAGAGAGUCUUGCUCUCGUUCUAACUUGUGCGCAUCAAGUGGUGGACACCAUAACAACAACUAACAUCGGGUGCGGGCCACAACAUAUAACAUCAACUAUUUCUAAUAUUGCACAAUCCUAAAAUAAAAUAUUGUUUUUAGCUACUUAAA
rnacentral:sRNA from 1 species